GUCUUCUUUCUAUUUAACUCCUAAUAAUACUCAUGAAGUGGAAGCGGAAGAUCAAAAUGCACUAGCAGAAGCAGGCCAAUUAGCCAUUGAGAAUAAUGAGACUGGAGAAUGGUGAAUCUUACACAACGAAAAGAGUUGAUAUCUUGACAAGGCUGAGAAGCGGGGCUAUUUCUCCAGUGAAGUAUUUUCCUCGCAUUUCUGCCAUGUCUUGUUAGAGUUCAAAGAGAAAAUUGAAUUGUGGAAGGAACAGGAAUUUAUUAGAAACUGUACUUAGAAGACAUAGUCUGCCUGCAAGACCAUGUAGUUCCUAUGCUUUGUUUGUAAUGUCAAAUUGGGUUUCUGUUAAGAAUUCUUCGUUCGGGGAAGCAAGCAAGUCUCUCGGUCGUAUAUGGGGCCAACUCUCCCUCCAAGAGAAGAAGGUCUUCAUUGGACAUGGCCUUGAAGGACAGUGCAAGGUAUAAAAGGCAACGUACGCUGCUGCAAGGUAUCA